UUCAAAAGGCAGGAGGACCAGAAAGGCUGCAAUCCCAGAGGAAAGCAAAGACUAGAAAUGGAGUUGAAACUAUAGAGAGUGAUGAAUAAUUUGCAAUGAAUCAAGAACACGAUGACCUUCAUGAUAUUUUCCGCAGUGGCUGCACCAGUUUGCAUUCCCACAACCAUGCACAAAGUUUCUUUUUUC